GGGGAUUUAGCUCAGCAGUAGAGCGUUUGCCUAGGAAGCGCAAGGCCCUGGGUUCGGUCCCCAGCUCCG
rnacentral:tRNA from 1 species